GGACUACUCGGGUAUCUAAUCCCGUUUGCUCCCCUGGCUUUCGCGCCUCAGCGUCAGUAGAGGUCCAGCAGUGCGCUUUCGCCACCGGCGUUCCUUCCGAUAUCAACGCAUUUCACCGCUCCACCGGAAGUUCCCACUGCCCCUACCUCCCUCGAGAUCCCCAGUAUCCAAGGCACUUCCCCAGUUAAGCUGGGGGCUUUCACCCCGGACUUGGUGACCCGCCUACGCGCCCUUUAAGCCCAGUGAUUCCGAACAACGUUCGCACGGUUCGUCUUACCGCGGCUGCUGGCAC
rnacentral:rRNA from 1 species